rnacentral:rRNA from 1 species
CGGACGGGUGAGUAAUGUCUGGGAAACUGCCUGAUGAGGGGGAUAACUACUGGAAACGGUAGCUAAUACCGCAUAACGUCGCAAGACCAAAGUGGGGGACCUUCGGGCCUCUUGCCAUCGGAUGUGCCCAGAUGGGAUUAGCUAGUAGGUGGGGUAACGGCUCACCUAGGCGACGAUCCCUAGCUGGUCUGAGAGGAUGACCAGCCACACUGGAACUGAGACACGGUCCAG